AUCCAAUUGCUUAGUUCCAAAUAGGACGAAACGCACGUCCUGGAU
rnacentral:hammerhead_ribozyme from 1 species